CUUCGGAGAAGAGCGGCGGACGGGUGAGUAACGCGUGGGUAACCUGCCCUGUACACACGNGAUAACAUACCGCGAGGUAUGCUAAUACGAGAUAAUAUGCUUUUAUCGCAUGGUAGAAGUAUCAAAGUUUUUGCGGUACAGGAUGGACCCGCGUCUGAUUAGCUAGUUGGUAAGGUAACGGCUUACCAAGGCGACGAUCAGUAGCCGACCUGAGAGGGUGAUCGGCCACAUUGGAACUGAGACACGGUCCAAACUCCUACGGGAGGCAGCAGUGGGGAAUAUUGCACAAUGGGCGAAAGCCUGAUGCAGCAACGCCGCGUGAGCGAUGAAGGCCUUCGGGUCGUAAAGCUCUGUCCUCAAGGAAGAUAAUGACGGUACUUGAGGAGGAAGCCCCGGCUAACUACGUGCCAGCAGCCGCGGUAAUACGUAGGGGGCUAGCGUUAUCCGGAAUUACUGGGCGUAAAGGGUGCGUAGGUGGUUUCUUAAGUCAGAGGUGAAAGGCUACGGCUCAACCGUAGUAAGCCUUUGAAACUGGGAAACUUGAGUGCAGGAGAGGAGAGUGGAAUUCCUAGUGUAGCGGUGAAAUGCGUAGAUAUUAGGAGGAACACCAGUUGCGAAGGCGGCUCUCUGGACUGUA
rnacentral:rRNA from 1 species